rnacentral:guide_RNA from 1 species
AAAUAACAUAAAAUGAUGGCCGAAUAAUAGAAUCUA